rnacentral:rRNA from 1 species
AGAUUGAACGCUGGCGGCAUGCUUUACACAUGCAAGUCGAACGGUAACAGGCCGCAAGGUGCUGACGAGUGGCGAACGGGUGAGUAAUGUAUCGGAACGUGCCCAGUCGUGGGGGAUAACGCAGCGAAAGCUGCGCUAAUACCGCAUACGAUCUAUGGAUGAAAGCGGGGGACCGUAAGGCCUCGCGCGAUUGGAGCGGCCGAUAUCAGAUUAGGUAGUUGGUGGGGUAAAGGCUCACCAAGCCAACGAUCUGUAGCUGGUCUGAGAGGACGACCAGCCACACUGGGACUGAGACACGGCCCAGACUCCUACGGGAGGCAGCAGUGGGGAAUUUUGGACAAUGGGCGCAAGCCUGAUCCAGCAAUGCCGCGUGCAGGAAGAAGGCCUUCGGUUGUAAACUGCGUUUUGUACGGAACGAACGGUCCGUGGUUAACUACGUGGGCUAAUGACGGUACGUAAGAACUAAGACACCGGACUAACGUACGUGUACCAGCC